UCAAGACCAGCCUGGCCAAGAUGGCAAACCCCAUCUCUACUAAAAAUACAAAACUUAGUCGAGCAUGGUGGCACAUGCCUGUGAUCCCAGCUAUUUGGGAGGCUGAGGCAGGAGAAUCACUUGAACCCAGGAGGAGGAGGUUGCAGUGAGCUGAGAUCAUGCCACUGCACUCCAGCCUGGGCAGCAGAGCAAGACUCUAUCUCAAAAUAAUAAUAAAAAUAAAAUAAGCUAGCCGCCUGUAAGGUGGUCAUGAAUCCUCUGCCCAAUAGAGACGCUCCAUCUUGCAUAGUGAGGCAAAGAUCUGAUCAGAUUUCCCUUCUUGGGGGAAGUAUUCUCAGAGCGGGCCUCAGCCCUUGACUGUAAGCCAUGAGCCUGGGAAAAGGCUGUAGGAAGACACAUAUAGAAGCAAAGGCAGCAAUAAAGAGAAGUGGGGAAUAGAAAGAGAAGCAGAUUGAGGAAGAGUCAAAGAGAAGUCAAGUCAUAGCUAAAGUGGAGAGCAGCCCAACCAGACAGCCUGACCACCACGGCUGCUCUGGGAGUCCCCAGAAGCCACUGCUCCAGGUCUCUAGAGGGCCUGGCUGUGCUGCUGUGUUUCCUUACAGCCUCUAGUGUCUUUAAAAUAAACCUCCAUCCCCUUGUGGUAACCCAAGGUUCUCUGUUCAUUGCAACAUAUAUGAAGGCAGAAUCACAGCUGGCCCACGUCUGGUAUCAGAGGAAGACAUAGGAGGGAAAUGUGUGUUUGUGUGUUUGUGUGUGUGCGUGCGUGUGUGUGCGCGUGCCUGCGUGCAUGCAUGUGUGUAGGGGCAGGGGGAAGUUUUUUAAAAAGGAAUAAAAAUAUUACAUCUUAAAGUUAUCAGCACAUAUGGUUCUGAGCAUACUAUUCUUGGUUGCUAGUUGUGAAUAAAGAUUUAAACGUUUUAGAAAUCUCAGGUGAAGGCAGAGAGAGUAUUACAUAACCUCUUGGGCAUCUGGAGUCGUGAAAAAAUUGUGGGCUUUGGAACCAGACUUACUUAGUUUUGAAUCUUGGCUCCCUCCCCUAUUGGAUGAUGACCUUGUGCAAGUUUUUUGUUCUCUCUCAACCAGUUUUUCCAUCUGGCGAAUGGGAAUAAAGUAUAUGUUCUAUGUAGUUUGUGGUGGUGAUUAGCCAAUAUCUUGUGUGCAAUACUAUCUGCACUUAGGAAGUAAAUGCAAGCUUAAUGAUGAUGAUUAGAUGACACAAGC
rnacentral:lncRNA from 1 species